GACGAACGCUGGCGGCGUGCCUAAUACAUGCAAGUUGAACGCAACAAAGACACCAGAGCUUGCUCUACCGUUUUUGUUGAGUAGCGAACGGGUGAGUAACGCGUGGGUAACCUGCCUUAUAGCGGGGGAUAACUAUUGGAAACGAUAGCUAAUACCGCAUAACAAUAGAGAUUGCAUAAUCUUUAUUUGAAAGUGCCAACUGGUACACUAUGAGAUGGACCCGCGUUGUAUUAGCUAGUUGGUAGUGUAAUGGACUACCAAGGCGAUGA
rnacentral:rRNA from 1 species